rnacentral:hammerhead_ribozyme from 1 species
AUCCAACUGACGAGGCCUAGAUAGGACGAAAUGCGUGUCUUGGAU